GAGUUUGAUCAUGGCUCAGAUUGAACGCUGGCGGCAUGCCUUACACAUGCAAGUCGAACGGCAGCACGGGAGCUUGCUCCUGGUGGCGAGUGGCGAACGGGUGAGUAAUGCAUCGGAACGUAUCCUGGAGUGGGGGAUAACGUAGCGAAAGUUACGCUAAUACCGCAUAUUCUGUGAGCAGGAAAGCGGGGGACCUUCGGGCCUCGCGCUCUUGGAGCGGCCGAUGUCGGAUUAGCUAGUUGGUGAGGUAAAGGCUCACCAAGGCGACGAUCCGUAGCAGGUCUGAGAGGAUGAUCUGCCACACUGGAACUGAGACACGGUCCAGACUCCUACGGAGGCAGCAGUGGGGAAUUUUGGACAAUGGGGGCAACCCUGAUCCAGCCAUGCCGCGUGAGUGAAGAAGGCCUCGAGUUGU
rnacentral:rRNA from 1 species